rnacentral:rRNA from 1 species
UACGGAGGGUGCAAGCGUUGUCCGGAUUUAUUGGGUUUAAAGGGUGCGUAGGCGGCCUUGUAAGUCAGUGGUGAAGCCUCCAGCUCAACUGGAGAACUGCCAUUGAUACUGCAAGGCUUGAGUACAGACGGAGGUUGGCGGAAUUGAUUGUGUAGCGGUGAAAUGCAUAGAUACAAUCAAGAACUCCGAUUGCGUAGGCAGCUAACUAGGCUGUAACUGACGGCUGAGGCACGAAAGCGCUGGGGAGCGAACGG